CCUACGGGAGGCAGCAGUGGGGAAUUUUGGCAAUGGGGGCAACCUGAUCCGCAAUGCCGCGUGUGUGAAGAAGGCCUUCGGGUUGUAAAGCCUUUUGUCCGGAAAGAAAUCGCCCUGGUUAAUACCUGGGGUGGAUGACGGUACUGAAGAAUAAGCACCGGCUAACACGUGCCAGCAGCCGCGGUAAUACGUAGGGUGCGAGCGUUAAUCGGAAUUACUGGGCGUAAAGCGUGCGCAGGC
rnacentral:rRNA from 1 species